rnacentral:tRNA from 1 species
GCUAGUGUAGCUUAAAUAAAGCAUAACACUGAAGAUGUUAAGAUGAACCCUAAAAAUGUUCCACAGGCA